rnacentral:rRNA from 1 species
ACCCGCUGAACUUAAGCAUAUCAAUAAGCGGAGGAAAAGAAACUAACUAGGAUUCCCUUAGUAGCGGCGAGCGAACCGGGAUGAGCCCAACUUGUAAAUCAUUAGCCCUCGGCUAAUUGAAUUGUAGUCUCAAGAUGCGAUCUCUGCAGCUAGCAGUGCCCAAUUUUCCUUGGAAAAGGGAGUCAGAGAGGGUGAGAACCCCGUCGGCACUUGCCUCAGCUGCUCCACGAGGCGUUUUCUCAGAGUCGGGUUGCUUGGGAAUGCAGCCCUAAGUAGGUGGUAAAUCCCAUCUAAGGCUAAAUACUGACGGGAGACCGAUAGCGAACAAGUACCGUGAGGGAAAGAUGAAAAGAACUUUGAAAAGAGAGUCAAAAGUGCUUGAAAUUGUUGAGGGGGAAGGAAUUGGAAGCCGUUUGUGCACCCGGGCUUAAGUGGGCAAUUCUGCCUACUGUACGCCUUGGGUGCCGGUCAGCAUCGGCUAUCGGACCGGGAUAAUAACUUUCCUUCGGAGAGUGCAUGCCGGCCCGGUGGCCGAGGAUUUGAAAGGCGCUCUUUGAGUCCUUCGGGAACUGCGCCUUCAAGAUGCUGGCAGAAGGCCUUCAAUUCGCCCGUCUUGAAACACGGACCAAGGAGUCUAACAUGUAUGCGAGCCGGUGGGUUUAACACCCAUGAGACGCAAGUAACCUGACUGGUGGGAUGGCUUAUGCCUGCACCAUCGACCGACCAUGAUCUUCUGUGAAAGGUUUGAGUACGAGCAUACCCGUUGGGACCCGAAAGAUGGUGAACUAUGCCUGAGCAGGGCGAAGCCAGAGGAAACUCUGGUGGAGGCUCGUAGAUGUGCUGACGUGCAAAUCGCUUUUCGGACUUGGGUAUAGGGGCGAAAGACUAAUCGAACCAUCUAGUAGCUGGUUCCCUCCGAAGUUUCCCCCAGGAUAGCUGGAGCUUGAUCAGUUUUAUCGGGUAAAGCGAAUGAUUAGAGGUACCGGGGAUGAAACAUCCUCGACCUAUUCUCAAACUUUAAAUAGGUAAGACGUCUGGGUUGCUUAAUUGAACCCAGGCAUUCAAUGAGAGCUCCAAGUGGGCCAUUUUUGGUAAGCAGAACUGGCGAUGCGGGAUGAACCGAAAGCUGAGUUAAGGCGCCCAACUGCGCGCUAACCUAGAUCCCACAAAGGGUGUUGAUUCAUAUAGACAGCAGGACGGUGGUCAUGGAAGUCGAAACCCGCUAAGGAGUGUGUAACAACUCACCUGCCGAAUGAAUUAGCCCCGAAAAUGGAUGGCGCUGAAGCGCGCGGCCUAUACUCAGCCAUGGGGACAAGUGCGAGGUCCCCAUGAGUAGGAGGGCGUGGGUGUCGUGGGAAAGCCUGCGGCGUGAGCCGGGGUGGAACGGCACCUGGUGCAGAUCUUGGUGGUAGUAGCAAAUAUUCAAAUGAGAACUUUGAAGACUGAAGUGGAGAAAGGUUCCAUGUGAACAGCAAUUGGACAUGGGUUAGUCGAUCCUAAGAGAUGGGGCAAACCUGUAUCAAGGGGCUCAUUGAGCCCGCCCAUCGAAAGGGGAAAGGGUUAAAAUUCCCUUACCUGGACAAGGCAGCUGACGGCAACGUAGGCGAGCCCGGAGACGCCGGCGGUGACCCUGGGGAGAGUUCUCUUUUCUUUUUAACAGCUCGAAGGCCCUGGAAUCGGCUCAUCCGGAGAUAGGGCCCAGAAGCUGGUAAAGCACUGCACUUCUCGCAGUGUCCGGAGCGCCACCGACGGCCCUUGAAAAUCUGGGGGAGCAAUUACUGAUCUUGCCAGGUCGUACUCAUAACCGCAGCAGGUCUCCAAGGUGAA